CAAUCAUCGUCCUCACACCCCACUCCUCUCUCAAAACCCUAGAGACCACCGCCACCAAAUCCCACUGCCCUAGUGUGGCGACGCCACUUCCAAUCACCACCAAACUAACACCAUCCACUCUCCUCACUCUCCUCUUUCCAACCGUACCAACCAUUUUCUUCGAAUCAUCACUCAAGUGAUCGAAUCUUAAUUCGAAAAGUUCGGUCAAAAUACAAUUUCACCCAAACUGGCUCAAAUUCACACCCCAUAGUCCCUAUGGCUCCCUUAUCUGGAAUCCCAAGUCAAAAGCCGUCGAAUAUCAGCGGACCACCCUCAAUUCCACAUCUAGGUUGUCUGGUCUAGCUUGUUCGGGAAUUUUUUCUAUUUCAGUGUAUCUCCAUGGUAAGUCGUCUUAUUUCAGUUUUAAAUUUCUGUUUAGAAUAGGUUAGUCUAAUCAUGCAUAUAUUAAUUGCUGCUUGGUCAGUAUCUACUGAUUUGGCUUUGGUUUGUUUUGUUUAGUCAAAUCGAUUAGUUGUACUUUAGGUUUUAUUAGUAAUCAGUAAGUAGUCUGCAUGCAAAUUUAAUCUCAGGUUAAUUGAAGUUUAGUGGUUAAUUGCAUUUAGGCUUUCUUCUUGCAUCCGAGUUUCAUCCUGAUAGUUUUGAUUCUGUUUUUGUUUUUCUGGUUAUUAAUUUCUUGCUUUCUUGGUUGCUGAAAGUUCUUAGAUGGCUAGUCAGUAGUGUUAAUUAGGAUUGUUUUGAGUUAUGGUCAUGCAAUGCUUGGGAAUGGUUGGGAUUUAUUCUAGUUGGAUUUUGUUAAUUGUUUGGCUAAUGUUUAGAGUAAAUCUGACUGGUGAUAGCUGUUAGUUAAUUUUAGUGAUUAAGGGUUUAGUAAUUUUGGGAGGUUAACAAGGUUAAAUUGGACAAAGGCCAAAGGGGAAAGGGCUGCAGUAAUUUUAGGAGUUGGCAUGGGUAGUUUGGGCAUGGAAAAGGGUAAUAUAUUAAGAAUUAGUAAUUACAAGAAAGGGUUAAGGGUAAUACAGGUAUUUGCAGGCUCAAAGAGCAUCCUAGAAGCUCCUAGAAUAGGGAUUUAGUAUACAUUUCAGAAAACUUAGGGAGUAACUUGAGAAACAAGUUAGGAAAGUGAUGUUUAAAGUGAAAAAUGGGCAGGGACUAAAAGAGAAAACCAAAAAUUUGAUCUUUUACCCUAGAGUGGCCUAUAAAUUGAGUCCCUCGUUUCUUUUGAAAGGGUCUUCUUUUUUUUUCAGCCAGGAUUAGCUCCCAAAAUACCCUUUUUAUGUUAAACUUUUAGAUUCCGGUAGCUUCCCAAAUUCAGAAACUACAUUCCGAAAACAAAAGAAUGAAAACAACAAAAAAAUGCAGUAAAAAAUCAAAAGAGCACUAUUCCAUUGAAACUUUAGGACAAUUUCAAUUUCUAGUUGUUAAAUCACACCUUCUAGUUUGAGGUUUGGCCAUAACAAUUUCAGAGGUUUGUUGGUUUGAUUUCGAGUAAGUGUGGGUCUGUUUAAACUGAUUUGGGUUGACUUGUUGUUGGCUGAAAGUUUCAAAGGUUUUUGGUGUUCAUUUUCGAGUUUAUUUGAGUGAUUUUGGUGAUGUCCUGGGUGAUCUCUGUUUUCUUAGUGGGUUUUAAAGUUUUCGGGGUGUUUGAGUUAUUGCUAUUGAUUUCUGCCCAUCAUUGUUGUUCGAAUUGCUUGUUGUUGAUCCUUCUUCUUCAUUGUUUCAUAUUUCCAGGUGCACAGCUUGUAACAUUUCGAUGUAUAUCUGAGCUUGAAGAAUGAAUAAAUAAAAUGCUAUUUGAAUGGUUGUUAUAAUAUUUGUUCAUUUAAAGUAUUUAGUAGUUUAGUUCAUUUGGUUUGUAUGAAUAGACUUGGACUGUACUAAGACUGUUGGAAUUUGCUUGGGUUGUUUGAUUGUGUUUAGUUGGAUCAUGAUGCUAUCAUUUUGUUUGAAAUUAGACUGUCAAGGGAUUUAGAUUAAUUGGAUUGCUUGAGUUAGUUUGGUUAGUGAAGUAAUGCUACAUUCAUGAAAACUAGAAUUGAGACUGAGUUGAAUUCGACGUUUUUUAUUCAUGAGUAUAACCUAAGUCUGUGAGUAUUUGAAGUUUAGAUUCAAUAUUUGGUUUUUCAAAUCAGUGAUAUAGUGUUCUGUUAGAAAUUGGUAGUUACAUGUUCACUUAAUUCAAUUGGGUCUGAUUUGAUCAUGCAUAUAUUAAUUGUUGUGUGAUAUAGUGUUCUGUUAGAAAUUGGUAAUUACAUGUUCACUUAAUUCAAUUGGGGUUGAUGUUUAAAAUCGUUAAGUUUGAGUCCUGUCAUUAUCUCAUUACUCCCUUUAAUUAAUAAUGUAAAUCAAUGUGUUGAUAACCACGGGUUCCUUGAUGGAGACGGGGUUAGAAAUGCGUUUUCAUGAUGCCGUAAUUCUUAUAAAACAAACAAAGAUCAAAACAAAUGAUUCAAAAUUGGAGACAAUCCGCACCAAAUAAAAAUAAAUGAAGGGCCCUCAGUAAUUGGUUAUUAAAAAUGAUUAGAAUUUGGAAGGGCCGUCCAGAGAAUUUCAACGGCCUUUCCCGAAAAAUAUUGCGUUAGAACCUUCAAGUGUGAUUUAAUUAAAUUACUUCCUUAAAUUCGGGUGCACAUUGAUGCGACCCAAAUUCAAAUCACGACGAAAUCGAAAUGUGUUGACGAACACGGGUGCCUUGAUGAUGACGUGGCCAGAAACGCGUUUUCACUGUUGCUGCCCAAUUAUUCCCUAUGUAUUUUUGUACCCAAAAUAUUUUCAAAAUAGCUUGUGAAUGCAUAUAUGAGCAUCCACAAAAAGUUUGGUAUUUUUCUAUAUUUUUCAAAUUUUUUAUAUCCAAUUUACAACUUAUUUUGUACUAAGAAAAUCCAAUAUUUAGUAUCAAAUCUUGUUAUUUUAAUAAAUAAUUUAUUUUAUUCUCUCAUCUACAUAACCCACAUGUUUGUAUCUGUAUUUGUCUGUUUUCGUGUUCUUCUGGGUUCUUUUUUGAGUUCUGUGUUCUUUGCUUUAAUUUUGUUGCUAGUGUUUAAUUUCCCCUAUCAUGUUGUGUUCUUUCUUAAGGUUUCUGGCUGUUCAUAUGGUGAUCUUAUGCUGAUUCUUACAAGCUCUCUUCAAGGCUGUAAUUACUGGCCUUAAAUUGUGAUUUUGUGUAUUCUCCUUACAGAUUUGGUAUUGAUUUUGAAUUUUCUUCCCCAAUCAGUGGGAUACAUUCCUUAAUUUAUAACUGACCUCCUAAGUUUCCAAUUUUGAAAAUUAUUUUCCAGAAUUAAAGUGGUAUUUUUUCUUAUAUGUGCGCACAAGUAUGUUGAUUUAUUUGCUUGACAUGUUUCCCUGGUUAAGUAUCAUGCACCUAGUCUUCAUUGUAUACCUUAUACUAUUUUUAUUUCCUUAUGUGCCCAUGUCAUACUAUGUGAUUCCUUUCCAUUUAAAAUGACUACUUAUUACCGUUUGACAUUGAUUCCUUAAUUAAAGGUGAGUCCUUAUGCUUAUUUGAUUAUGAUUGAUACUCAGUUCCUUAAAUAUGGACUGAUACCUUAUUGGUUUACUCGUUUUUAAUACUAUAAGUACACCUCACCUUUCUCAUUGAACACUCCAACACACGCUGCUCUCACAAAUUUCUCGUUUUUAGUACUAUAAAUACUCCUCACCUUUCUCUUUGAACACACGAACACACACUGCUCUCACUACCUCAGAAUCUCUGAAUUCUCUCUUUCUCUGUUAUUACUAUAGUCUCUCAUUCUCUUUUUUGAACACUCAAUUGGCUAAAAGCCAAGAUUAGUAGCCUAGGUUGAUUACUUUACACAACUGGGUUUUAUUUGUUUGUCAACAUUGGGUCUGUUGCUGCUGCUAUUCUCAUAACUGCUGUUACUCACACUGCUGCUCUCAUUCUCUGCACACUUUGCUCUCCCUUUGUGCACUAUUGCUUUGCUAUGAUAUCCUAUUACCAUCAAUUGGUAUGUCACCUAAUAAAGAUAAAUUUUCCACAAAAAUAUGAUCUUAUUGGUUUUGCAUUUCAUAAUGUUUCUUAUAUGCUUUUAUUUAUGGUUUUGUUUCUCUUUCUGUCACUAGCAUGUUACUUACUAGUCUAUUUGGUUCUGUUUAACAUGCCCCCUACCCCUGUUGCCCUUGUCUCAAUAUAUGUUUUCCUCUUCCAUGUGCACUACUGCUUGGCUACUUAACAGCUCUGAAACCUCUCCCUGAGGUUGAUUUUAUUAAGAGUUCGGAAUAGUGAGAGCUGCACUCUUGUUUGCCACCAUAUCUGGUUACUUUCAAUAUGUUACCUGUGUAAGUAGUUUACUUUGCUUAUUUGUUCCCUUCCCUUUUGCCUUAUUUUUGUGAUGCUCUGUUAUUCUAAAACUGAUCAGUCUAAAGGAUUUCAGAAGAACUCUUUCAAUUCUUUCAACUAUUUUAUUAAAAUUGUCUAAACUUUUCAAUUCUUUCAACUAUUUUCUUAAAACUGUCUCAACUUUUAAAUUCUUUCAAUUGUUUUCUUAAAUUUUCUCUCAUCUAUUUUCAACUCUCUCAAUUCUAAUCACAAUCUCAUUCUUAGAGCUUUAGGGUCUGCCCCUUAGAGCAAGCACUGCCUUGGGAGCCUUGAGCACCCAUGGAACUCUGAUGUAAAAUGCUGGCACAUCCAUGCUUGCACUUGUCUAAUUGGGACAGUUUUGGGUGCUUGGUAUUGGCCAGGGGUUCAAACAAACCCUUAGGGAACGUUGUCGCAUCCAAGCCUUGGUAAUGGUUGUGAAUCUCGAAAGGAGUAAUGUUGGAGAUGCUUGGGCCUGGCUGUAGGCUACCUAUAGAAUAACUUCUUCUUUUCUUUCAUUGUUGUAUUUUUUUAAUCACUUGGUCUGUAACAACUUGUAAAGAACAAUGGGGAUUAUAGUGAAAUAUGGCAGGGUUAUGCAUAUAUUAUGGGUAUGGGUAGAAAACAUGUUUAUAGGAUUUUACUUGUCUAUCUGCGUAAUAGAAACCAUGUAUAGUGCAUGCAUCUCACAUGCAGAAAUCCUGUUCUUAGGUCUUUUAAUUUCAGCUUGUUAUUUUUAUAAUCACAACAAGUUAAUAAUCAAAUUACUGCCUUGCAUUUAAAUACCAUGUUUUAGGGCCCCCUAUAUGCAUUAGAUAUCAUGUACUUAAGGUCUUUCUUUUACUACUGUUGAAUGCCUCAUUAAUUUUGUUAAAUUGACGUAAGACUGAUUAACAAAUCCUUGUUAAAAUUAGGAAUCGUUGCAUGAUCCCCGUCUUUGAUAACACCUAGGCAAACCUUAGGUCGGAUAAAAGAUAAAAUGGGCCAAUCACUUUCAAG
rnacentral:lncRNA from 1 species